GCCUCCAGUGCAGCCAGCGCGACAUUAUUUGUGCUGUACGCGUUAUUUCAUUUGAGUUUCCUCAACUGCAUUCACUGCAGUUCCGGUUUUCUACUUCUCUGGAUCCGAAGCUUAUCCUUUGGAGUUUCAAUAAAAUUGUUAGCAGUUAUGUUUGUAUGAAUUCCUUACA